AACGUAGGACGCAAGCGUUAUCCGGAAUUACUGGGCGUAAAGCGCGUGUAGGUGGUUGCAUAAGUCACUGUUGAAAGCUCCCGGCUAAACUGGGAGAGGUGCGGUGAGACUGUGCGGCUAGAGUAUGGGAGAGGGAUGCAGAAUUCCGGGUGUAGUGGUGAAAUGCGUAGAGAUCCGGAGGAAUACCAGAGGCGAAGGCGGCAUCCUGGCCGAAAACUGACGCUGAGACGCGAAAGCAUGGGGAGCGAACGGG
rnacentral:rRNA from 1 species